rnacentral:rRNA from 1 species
GACAGAGGGUGCAAACGUUGUUCGGAAUUACUGGGCGUAAAGCGCGUGUAGGCGGCUAUGCAAGUCGGAUAUGAAAGCCCUCGGCUCAACCGGGGAAGUGCACCCGAAACUGCAAGCUAGAGUCUCGGAGAGGAUCGUGGAAUUCUCGGUGUAGAGGUGAAAUUCGUAGAUAUCGAGAGGAACACCGGUGGCGAAGGCGGCG